rnacentral:rRNA from 1 species
AGUGAACGCUGGCGGUAGGCCUAACACAUGCAAGUCGAACGGCAGCACAGUAAGAGCUUGCUCUUACGGGUGGCGAGUGGCGGACGGGUGAGGAAUACAUCGGAAUCUACUUUUUCGUGGGGGAUAACGUAGGGAAACUUACGCUAAUACCGCAUACGACCUACGGGUGAAAGCAGGGGAUCUUCGGACCUUGCGCGAUUGAAUGAGCCGAUGUCGGAUUAGCUAGUUGGCGGGGUAAAGGCCCACCAAGGCGACGAUCCGUAGCUGGUCUGAGAGGAUGAUCAGCCACACUGGAACUGGGACACGGUCCAGACUCCUACGGGAGGCAGCAGUGGGGAAUAUUGGACAAUGGGCGCAAGCCUGAUCCAGCCAUACCGCGUGGGUGAAGAAGGCCUUCGGGUUGUAAAGCCCUUUUGUUGGGAAAGAAAAGCGGCAGGUUAAUACCCCGCUGUUCUGACGGUACCCAAAGAAUAAGCACCGGCUAACUUCGUG